GGUCUCUGCCGGCGCCCGGGAGGGCGUGAUGACGUCACGACGCCCGGAUCCGCGCCCGGCCGGCGGCGGGCGGGUUGUCGCUAUAGCAAUGCGGGGGCGCCACCUGUCGCGCCCAGGGACUCGGUCCACCAGGGACUCGGCGGGAAGGGGAGGAGCCCGGGCCCCACGGAGGAGCGUCGCGGCCUGCGGGCUGGCAGAUGCGCUCGGGGAGGCGGGGUCGGAGGGGCAGCCUGUGAGGGGAGCGGUUCCCGCGGGGCCCCCUGCCCGCGCCUCGGGCUCAGCCCAGGUCGCCGCGCCUCCCGUCCGCGGGCACAGCCUGCGAGCCGAGCUCCCAGGGAAGCAGCGCGGGGACCGUGAGCUCCUUGCGGGAAAGGAGGACGACGUAAAUGCUGAGAAGCCUUGUUCACAUAGUAAUUGGGAAAGAAGAAAUAUGUUACAAUGAUACUCCUCGUGUCUGAACUACUUCCGAGUCACAUGCCAACAAUCACAGUGUCCUAUUACCAAAUACUAUUAUCAAAACCUGGUUUCUGUCCUGCAGAGCGAUAUAUAUAGUCUUUCUCAUUGGGAGUGACAGCAGCACUUUCAACACGGUAAUGCCUGCUGCUCUUCCUCACUUGCUGUGUCCACUAGCCCAGUGGUGUG